AUACGAAGGGUGCGAGCGUUAAUCGGAAUUACUGGGCGUAAAGCGCGCGUAGGUGGUUCGUUAAGUUGGAUGUGAAAGCCCCGGGCUCAACCUGGGAACUGCAUCCAAAACUGGCGAGCUAGAGUAUGGCAGAGGGUGGUGGAAUUUCCUGUGUAGCGGUGAAAUGCGUAGAUAUAGGAAGGAACACCAGUGGCGAAGGCGACCACCUGGGCUAAUACUGACACUGAGGUGCGAAAGCGUGGGGAGCAAACAGGAUUAGAUCCCCGGGUAGUCCACGCCGUAAACGAUGUCGACUAGCCGUUGGGGUCCUUGAGAUCUUAGUGGCGCAGCUAACGCAUUAAGUCGACCGCCUGGGGAGUACGGCCGCAAGGUUAAAACUCAAAUGAAUUGGCGGGG
rnacentral:rRNA from 1 species